rnacentral:misc_RNA from 1 species
GAUGAAGAACGCAGCAAAAUGCGAUAAGUAAUGUGAAUUGCAGAAUUCAGUGAAUCAUCGAAUCUUUGAACGCACAUUGCGCUCGCCAGUAUUCUGGCGGGCAUGCCUGUUCGAGCGUCAUUUCAACCCUCAAGCUCAGCUUGGUGUUGGGACUCGCGGUAACCCGCGUUCCCCAAAUCGAUUGGCGGUCACGUCGAGCUUCCAUAGCGUAGUAAUCAUACACCUCGUUACUGGUAAUCGUCGCGGCCACGCCGUAAAACCCCAACUUCUGAAUGUUGACCUCGGAUCAGGUAGGAAUACCCGCUGAACUUAAGCAUAUCAAUAAGCGGAGGA